rnacentral:rRNA from 1 species
GACGUAGGGCGCGAGCGUUGUCCGGAUUUAUUGGGCGUAAAGAGCUCGUAGGCGGCUUGUCGCGUCGACUGUGAAAACCCGCGGCUCAACCGUGUGGUCUGCAGUCGAUACGGGCAGGCUAGAGUUCGGUAGGGGAGACUGGAAUUUCUGGUGUAGCGGUGAAAUGCGCAGAUAUCAGGAGGAACACCGGUGGCGAAGGCGGGUCUCUGGGCCGAUACUGACGCUGAGGAGCGAAAGCGUGGGGAGCGAACAGG